CUCUUCCUGUGAUUUGGUAACCACACACAGCUGUUUUCCUUGCAGUAGUCAGGUGAUUCUGGGGAAGCCUGCUUGUGCUGCAACAGAAUAUUGGUAAUGGCACAAUCACAAAAAAAAACCCAGAGAUUGUUGAAUGUGCUCUAUUAAACCUGACAAGUCCCAGUGAUUCUCUGAAGUCCUGCAGGAUAAGUUCUGGAUAGAUGUUACAGUCUGGGAUCACUCAAAGGGAAAUUUGUGUAACCACUUGUCUACAAUAGCAGCUGUCAGGGCAAUGGUCUGUCCAGCCAAGUACUUUGGCACUGACUGGGUUAAUCACACUGUCAACAAUAUUAUCCUUACACUUCCCUGGACUCAGGCAGAUCUAAAGCAAAUAAAGGAAUUUUCUGCACAGAGCAAUGCCAGAUGCCCUUAAAUAAAACUUGCUAGCAAGGCAGAAAAUAUUUUUUGUUCUUUUUAAACAAUUUGUGACCAGACACAUAAACACUUGCUGGACCACCAAAAUGUUGGCCUAAGGCAGUGUAACACAGCAUAUGAAAUAAAAGUCAUCACAUUGGCUACUGUCAUAGUAAAUGACAAGGAGUUCCAAGCAACAAUUCAAAGUACUACUGUGUACCUGACCUCAGCAGAGGGGCUCUCAGUGACUGCCCAAGUGUAUGACACGACUUUGGGGGGCAUCACUGCCUAGAUAGAGCCAGUGAACACUGUUAAAUAAAUAAUUUGAUGUGACCACUAAGAAAAGGAGCAAGGUGCAACUAAUAAUAUACUAUACAACAUGUUUAUGCACAUCACCUAUAUGAGCAGUUGUAGCAUAGAUCACACACAAUGUGCAUUUGAAAUUGCAGAGAAUAAAACACUUUCAUGCUUCAGAGAUCCAUGUAAAAGAAGACUGUAGCAGGAGAGCAGUGACAGACAGA